UACGAGGGGGGCAAGCGUUGUCCGGAUUUACUGGGCGUAAAGCGCGCGUAGGCGGACUGGUAAGUCAGAGGUGAAAUCUCCCGGCUCAACUGGGAUAGGCCCUUUGAUACUGCCAGCCUUGAGAUGCCUAGAGGAGAGUGGAAUUCCCGGUGUAGUGGUGGAAUGCGUAGAUAUCGGGAGGAACACCAAUGGCGAAAGCAGGUAACUGGACUAUUACUGACACUCAACUGCGAAAGCUAGGGGAGCAAACAGG
rnacentral:rRNA from 1 species